CCCUUAGAUGUUCUGGGCCGCACGCGUGCUACACUGAGUAAAUCAAUGGGUAAGGGAACACGAAAGUGCAACCUAAUCUUCAAAUUUGCUCGUGAUGGGGAUCGACGGUUGCAAUUUUCCGUCGUGAACGAGGAAUACCUUGUAGGCGCGUGUCAUCAUCACGCGCCGAAUACGUCCCUGCCCUUUGUACACACCGCCCGUCGCUCCUACCGAUUGAGUGAUCCGGUGAGGCUCUGGGACCUGGACGGAAAGAGCGUUUCGCUUGUUCUGUUUGGGAAACUUGGUCGAAGCUUAUCAUUUAGAGGAAGGAGAAGUCGUAACA
rnacentral:rRNA from 1 species